rnacentral:misc_RNA from 1 species
GCGAGUGAAGCGGCAAAAGCUCAAAUUUGAAAUCUGGCUCCUUCGGGGUCCGAGUUGUAAUUUGGAGAGGAUGCUCUGGGGGUGGUCGCGGUCUAAGUCCCCUGGAACGGGGCGUCGCAGAGGGUGAGAAUCCCGUCUUCGGCCGGCCGACCAUGCCCGUGUAGAGCUCCUUCGACGAGUCGAGUUGUUUGGGAAUGCAGCUCUAAAUGGGUGGUAAAUUUCAUCUAAAGCUAAAUACUGGUCGGAGACCGAUAGCGCACAAGUAGAGUGAUCGAAAGAUGAAAAGCACUUUGAAAAGAGAGUUAAACAGCAUGUGAAAUUGUUGAAAGGGAAGCACAAGCGACCAGAGUCGGCCGCGGGGGUUCAGCAGGGGUCCUCCCCUGUGUAUUCCCCCGUGGUCGGGCCAGCAUCAGUUCUGGCGGCCGGUCAAAGGCUCCGGGAAUGUGUCGCCCUUCGGGACGACUUAUAGCCCGGGGUGCAAUGCGGCCAGCCGGGACUGAGGAACGCGCUUCGGCACGGAUGCUGGCUUAAUGGCCGUUUGUGGCCCGUCUUGAAACACGGACCAAGGAGUCUAACAUCCACGCGAGUGUUCGGGUGUCAAACCCGUCCGCGCAGUGAAAGCGAACGGAGGUGAGAGCCCCUCGAGGGUGCAUCAUCGACCGAUCCUGAAGUCUUCGGAUGGAUUUGAGUAUGAGCGUGGCUGUUGGGACCCGAAAGAUGGGGAACUAUGCCUGAAUAGGGUGAAGCCAGAGGAAACUCUGGUGGAGGCUCGCAGCGGUUCUGACGUGCAAAUCGAUCGUCAAAUUUGGGU